AGCAGCCGCGGUAAUUCCAGCUCCAAUAGCGUAUAUUAAAGUUGUUGCAGUUAAAAAGCUCGUAGUUGAAUUUCGGGAUCAAUAUGUUGGUCGUGCCUUGGUACGUACUGGCGUCAUUGGUUUCUACCUUCUGAAGAACCUCGAUGUCAUUAAUUUGGUGUCUUGGGGAAUCAGGACUGUUACUUUGAAAAAAUUAGAGUGUUUAAAGCAAGCUCACGCUUGAAUACAUUAGCAUGGAAUAAUGAAAUAGGACGUUUGAUUCUAUUUUGUUGGUUUCUAGGAUCGACGUAAUGAUUAAUAGGGAUAGUUGGGGGCAUUAGUAUUCAAUUGUCAGGGGUGAAAUUCUUGGAUUUAUUGAAGACUAACUACUGCGAAAGCAUUUGCCAAGGAUGUUUUCAUUAAUCAAGAACGAAAGUUAGGGGAUCGAAGACGAUCAGAUACCGUCGUAGUCUUAACCAUAAACUAUGCCGACUAGGGAUCGGAUGAUGUUAAUUUUUUAAUGACUCAUUCGGCGCCUUAC
rnacentral:misc_RNA from 1 species